ACACUUACCUGGCAUGGUAGAUACCAUGAUCGUGAAGGUGGUUUUCCCAGGGUGAGGCUUGUCUAUUGCACACUUUGAGAACCAUUUACUUGUAUUACUGCUAAAACAUCUGAAAUGUGUCUUUCCUGUUGCC
ensembl:snRNA U1 U1 spliceosomal RNA